GAAAGAAUGUGCAAACUCCGCACAGACAGCUUCAAAGGUCAAGAUUGAACCUGAGUUGCCGGAGCUGUGAAGCAUCAGCUCUGCCUGCUGUCCUACAUGUUGCCCAGAGGGAUUUUCCAUUUGAAGAGCAGAUGUUCAAUGCACUCUCCAACUCCCCAGAAAUGGACAGACCAGUGGUGUAUUUCGGAGAAGUGGAUUUACUCUUGACCUCCGGGACUAUAGAAGUUGCAGUGAGAUUUUCCUGGAUCCACAAGGAAAUACUCAACUCCCGGAAACUGCAGUGGAACCUCCGUAUCAUCUUCUCCCACCAGCCCCCUCCCAUCCUGACCCUGUUGGGCUCCCUGAGGCCAAACAGGAACUACAUCAGGAGCCCACCAGAAAGUAGGAUAGAGCCAGGCAUGAAGAUAAAUGGUGGUCAGAAAUUCAACCCACUGAAACUGAGGGGCUGUUGGGGGCAGAGAGGAAACUCAAGCCUUAAUCUAUUGCGGAAAGUCUGAGCACUUAUGAAAUUAUUUAGAAGGAGGGAAGAAGUAACUUUUAUGUUUUGCCAUUCACAACCUAGAGUUCCCCCAAAACACUUCACAGUCAAUAACCCACUGUUGUACUGUGGGAAAUGGGGCAUUUGUAAACAGAAAGAUUCAUCAAUAGCAAAAUAGUAAUGACUAGAUAAUCUGCUCUGGGUGCACAAUGUGGGAUAAAUAAUGUACAGGCAAUAGGAAAGAACUCGCCCGCACUUCUAUAGACUGUGGUAUAUGAUCUUUCACUUCUACGUGAGAGCAGAGGAAGGCUGGUUCGGCAUCUCAUCCCAAUUCAGCACCUUUUUCAGUAAAUUACUUGAUUGAAAUUUCACUCUAGACCUUGGGCUCAGGUUUAUGAAUGUAACUUGAACCUAUACCUUUUCAGCAAGUAGGCAAAAGAGACAUUUUAUGUAUCUAAUCCUUGGCAGCCAUGCCUUCAGCAACCUGGAUAAUAUUCUUCCAAAUUUCCUAAAUCUGUUUGCCUCCCUUAUUCUCACACCUCUUUGUCAUCUGUCACAAUAUCAAAUCUUGCUUGAUAACUCUCCUGUGAAUGGCCUGGAGAUGUUUUAUUAUGUUAUAGGCUCUAUAUAAAUGCAAGCUGUUGUUGUUGAACCAAAUCUAGUGGCUUUCAGGGAAAGGUUAUCACAGGAGGGCAAGGUCAUUUUAACAAAUUCUGGUUCCACAACAUUUCCUUCAACCUAUUUAUUGAACAUAGACAUAGUACAGCGCCGGACAGGCCCUUUGGCCCACAAUGUUUUGCCAAACUAAUUAAACCAAUGACUCCUAAUUAAUCUAAUCCCUCUUCUCUGCAUAUUGACCAUAUCCCUCUCUUACCUUUUUCAAUCCUGGGAAAAGGAUACUGGCCGUCUAGUCUACCUGUGCCUCGCGUAAUUUUAUAAACUUCUAUCAAAUUUCCCCUCAGCCUCCUCCGCUCUAGAGAAAGCAGCCCCAACUUGCCCAACCUCUCCUCAUAGCACAUCCUCCAAACCAGGCAGCAUCCUGGUAAACCUCCUCUGCACCCUCUCCAAAGCCUCCGUCCACAUCCUUCCUGUAAUAAGGUGACCUGAAUUGAACGCAAUACUCCAAAUGUGGCCUAAGCAAAGUUUUAUAAAGCUCUAACAUAACUUCCUGGCCCUUCAACUCAAUGCCUCGACUAAUGAAAGCAAGUAUGCCAUACGCUUUCUUUACCACCCUAUCAACCUGUGCGGCCAAGAUCCCUCUGAUCAUCAACACUAUUAAGGGUCCUGCAAUUAACUGUGUACUCUCCCUUUAUAUUGGAUCUUCCAAAGUGCAGCACCACACAUGCCGGGAUUAAACUCCACCUGCCAGUUCUCUGCCCAUAUCUGGAACUGAUCUAUAUCCCGCUGUAUCCUUUGGCAAUCUUCAAGGCAAUCCACAAUGCCACCAAUCUUUGUAUUAUCUGCAAACUUACCCCACUCUACCAUAUUUUCAUCCAAAUCAUUUACAUAUAUGACAAACAGCAGAGGUCCCAGUACAGAUCCCUGCGGAACACCACUCGUCACAGACCUCCAUCCAGGAUAAGACCCAUCCACCACUACCUUCUGUGUUCUAUGGACAAGCCAAUUUUGGAUCCAAUCAGCCAAGUCACUGUGGAUCCCAUGCAUCCUAAUUUUCUGGAUGAGCCUACCAUGCGGGACCUUGUCGAAUGCCUUACUAAAAUCCAUGUAUGCAACAUCCACUGUUCAACCUCAUCACCUCCUCAAAAAACUCAAUCAGAUUAGUCAGACAUGUCCUGUCCCACACAAAGCCAUGCUGACUGUCCCUAAUUAGACCAUGCUUCUCCAAAUCCUCAUAAAUCCUCAUAUUUGCUAUCAAACUAUCCUGCAAAACUGAAUAACUACACUCUGACUGUCAGUAAUUCUCCAGACAAUAAUGAAAUUCAGUAAGCAUAGGACCAGCCCAAAGAAAGUUAUAGCCUUUUCCUUUAGUGUUUAUAAUUCUUGCAUUCUCCACACGUUCAGAAUAAAGCCUUUCAACACAUUUAAACAAUAUUUUCUGAAAUGAUUUUGAAAUUUUCAAAGAUUUCUAAACCUUCAAAAUUCAAAAGAGAUUCAUUAAGUCAGGAAACACAUAUUGAGUUAUGUGUUUAUUACAAAAAAGUCAGGGUGAGCCCAUCUUGCAACAGUCCAGGCAAACAUCCCCAGGGGCUGCACAUAAUUACUGCCUACAAAUUUGCUCCUUUCAACCAAUUAGGAAACAAAUGAAAUUUGACAUCUGCGUUGACGCAGUAAAUGCAUGGUCAGAUUAUUUACACCAAUGACUUUCUGAAGAGGAUAAGCCCGUGUUCAGUUGUUAUGCCCUUGGGAAAAAUAGACUAGUACUGUCAGCAUUUCAUUCACACACCAUUCAACAAGUCAAAAUGGUACCUCUGUGGCGGGCCAAGUCUGGUGGUUAAAACUCCUCAAUAAUACACUCCAUAAGGCUACAAAUUGUUCCACUGGAGGGGUCAUUGAGGUAAAUGCCUGUCAGGUUAUUCAGAGGAAGGAACAAUAACAUACAUGGUGUUGAGGUAACAUAUUUUCUUCUGUGAUAACAAUUUUAAUUCUUUUCUCAGUUUGCUCUGCUCAAAUUGAAUUGCUUGUUGUAUUUUCUUCAUCACAGCACUGACUGAAUUUAAAAGGGGCUUAAUUGACUGCAAAAUGCUUUGGGACAUCCCAAAGUCAUAAAGCCAAGAUUUGCUCCUUCUUCAAUUCAAAAGGGCAUUAUCUGAAUGUCAGAAUGUUAGACACUGUCUCUAUUCCUAUCACAGUGCAAUAGAAAAUCCAUUUCAGUCAAUGUUAAGACAUCUCUGUGGCACAGCAUAACCCACUGUAAUUCAGUUUUCCUCUCUGAUUUUCACAUCUCUGUUUACAAAUGACUGGGACUAUGGCAUUAAUAAUAAUUUGCAAAAUCAUGCUUGACUUACUGACGACAAAGAAAAAAUACAGGCAUUGAAACAUAAAAAUACAUUGUGGCGACUCACCGUCUAGUCGGGCGAACCGGCCCGGCAGUCGGGUCACGCGGUGUCGGAGCGACGAGGCCCAAGAUGGCGGCGGGCCUCGUCUUUCCAAGCGACGGGGAGAACCCGCGCGCGGGAAAGCCCUGAUGACGUAGGACUUACGUCAUUGCCGGUUUUUUGGGCGGGAGUUUUCUCCCUUAAAGGGCCCGCGCAAGGCGGGAAAAU